rnacentral:rRNA from 1 species
GGAAUCUUGCGCAAUGGGCGAAAGCCUGACGCAGCGACACCGCGUGAGGGAUGACGGCCUUAGGGUUGUAAACCUCUUUUCUUGGGGAAGAAUUUUGACGGUACCCAAGGAAUAAGCAUCGGCUAACUACGUGCCAGCAGCCGCGGUAAUACGUAGGAUGCGAGCGUUGUUCGGAAUUAUUGGGCGUAAAGAGCGAGUAGGCGGUAAUUCAAGUCUUAUGUGAAAUCUCCCGGCUUAACUGGGAGCGGUCAUGAGAAACUGUUUUGCUUGAGGAUACCAGAGGUAAGUGGAAUUCCCGGAGUAGCGGUGAAAUGCGUAGAUACCGGGGGGAACACCAGAGGCGAAGGCGACUUACUGGGGUAUUUCUGACGCUGAGGCGCGAAAGCAUGGGUAGCAAACCGG